rnacentral:lncRNA from 1 species
CAGCACCAAAGUAAAGUGAGUUGCUUGCAAGUCACUAUGGUGAUCUCAGGUCAGAGGGACACUUAUACCCAUAUCCCUUUGAAGUGACUCUUGACAGCAGAGUGCUCUGGAGUUGGCCACGUUCAGUGAAAUGUACUCCUACAUUUUACCUGCAUGCCAUACCAGCGUCUCUACGCUCCUUGGUUAAGACGACAACCAA